rnacentral:rRNA from 1 species
UUUGGUUAAGUUAGAAAGGGCGCACGGUGGAUGCCUUGACACUAGGAGUCGAUGAAGGACGGGACUAACGCCGAUAUGCUUCGGGGAGCUGUAAGUAAGCUUUGAUCCGAAGAUUUCCGAAUGGGGAAACCCACCAUACGUAAUGGUAUGGUAUCCUUAUCUGAAUACAUAGGGUAAGGAAGACAGACCCAGGGAACUGAAACAUCUAAGUACCUGGAGGAAGAGAAAGCAAAUGCGAUUUCCUGAGUAGCGGCGAGCGAAACGGAACAUAGCCCAAACCAAGAGGCUUGCCUCUUGGGGUUGUAGGACAUUCUAUACGGAGUUACAAAGGAACGAGGUAGACGAAGCGACCUGGAAAGGUCCGUCGUAGAGGGUAACAACCCCGUAGUCGAAACUUCGUUCUCUCUUGAAUGUAUCCUGAGUACGGCGGAACACGUGAAAUUCCGUCGGAAUCUGGGAGGACCAUCUCCCAAGGCUAAAUACUCCCUAGUGAUCGAUAGUGAACCAGUACCGUGAGGGAAAGGUGAAAAGCACCCCGGAAGGGGAGUGAAAGAGAUCCUGAAACCGUGUGCCUACAAAUAGUCAGAGCCCGUUAACGGGUGAUGGCGUGCCUUUUGUAGAAUGAACCGGCGAGUUACGAUCCCGUGCGAGGUUAAGCUGAAGAGGCGGAGCCGCAGCGAAAGCGAGUCUGAAUAGGGCGUUUAGUACGUGGUCGUAGACCCGAAACCAGGUGAUCUACCCAUGUCCAGGGUGAAGUUCAGGUAACACUGAAUGGAGGCCCGAACCCACGCACGUUGAAAAGUGCGGGGAUGAGGUGUGGGUAGCGGAGAAAUUCCAAUCGAACCUGGAGAUAGCUGGUUCUCCCCGAAAUAGCUUUAGGGCUAGCCUUAAGUGUAAGAGUCUUGGAGGUAGAGCACUGAUUGGACUAGGGGUCCUCAUCGGAUUACCGAAUUCAGUCAAACUCCGAAUGCCAAUGACUUAUCCUUAGGAGUCAGACUGCGAGUGAUAAGAUCCGUAGUCAAAAGGGAAACAGCCCAGACCGCCAGCUAAGGUCCCAAAGUGUGUAUUAAGUGGAAAAGGAUGUGGAGUUGCUUAGACAACUAGGAUGUUGGCUUAGAAGCAGCCACCAUUUAAAGAGUGCGUAAUAGCUCACUAGUCGAGUGACUCUGCGCCGAAAAUGUACCGGGGCUAAAUACACCACCGAAGCUGCGGAUUGAUACCAAUGGUAUCAGUGGUAGGGGAGCGUUCUAAGGACAGUGAAGUCAGACCGGAAGGACUGGUGGAGUGCUUAGAAGUGAGAAUGCCGGUAUGAGUAGCGAAAGACGGGUGAGAAUCCCGUCCACCGAAUGCCUAAGGUUUCCUGAGGAAGGCUCGUCCGCUCAGGGUUAGUCAGGACCUAAGCCGAGGCCGACAGGCGUAGGCGAUGGACAACAGGUUGAUAUUCCUGUACCACCUCUUUAUCGUUUGAGCAAUGGAGGGACGCAGAAGGAUAGAAGAAGCGUGCGAUUGGUUGUGCACGUCCAAGCAGUUAGGCUGAUAAGUAGGCAAAUCCGCUUAUCGUAAAGGCUGAGCUGUGAUGGGGAAGCUCCUUAUGGAGCGAAGUCUUUGAUUCCCCGCUGCCAAGAAAAGCUUCUAGCGAGAUAAAAGGUGCCUGUACCGCAAACCGACACAGGUAGGCGAGGAGAGAAUCCUAAGGUGUGCGAGAGAACUCUGGUUAAGGAACUCGGCAAAAUGACCCCGUAACUUCGGGAGAAGGGGUGCUUUCUUAACGGAAAGCCGCAGUGAAUAGGCCCAAGCGACUGUUUAGCAAAAACACAGCUCUCUGCGAAGCCGUAAGGCGAAGUAUAGGGGGUGACACCUGCCCGGUGCUGGAAGGUUAAGGAGAGGGGUUAGCGUAAGCGAAGCUCUGAACUGAAGCCCCAGUAAACGGCGGCCGUAACUAUAACGGUCCUAAGGUAGCGAAAUUCCUUGUCGGGUAAGUUCCGACCCGCACGAAAGGUGUAACGAUUUGGGCACUGUCUCAACCAGAGACUCGGUGAAAUUAUAGUACCUGUGAAGAUGCAGGUUACCCGCGACAGGACGGAAAGACCCCGUGGAGCUUUACUGUAGCCUGAUAUUGAAUUUUGGUACAGUUUGUACAGGAUAGGCGGGAGCCAUUGAAACCGGAGCGCUAGCUUCGGUGGAGGCGCUGGUGGGAUACCGCCCUGACUGUAUUGAAAUUCUAACCUACGGGUCUUAUCGACCCGGGAGACAGUGUCAGGUGGGCAGUUUGACUGGGGCGGUCGCCUCCUAAAGUGUAACGGAGGCGCCCAAAGGUUCCCUCAGAAUGGUUGGAAAUCAUUCGUAGAGUGCAAAGGCAUAAGGGAGCUUGACUGCGAGACCUACAAGUCGAGCAGGGACGAAAGUCGGGCUUAGUGAUCCGGUGGUUCCGCAUGGAAGGGCCAUCGCUCAACGGAUAAAAGCUACCCCGGGGAUAACAGGCUUAUCUCCCCCAAGAGUCCACAUCGACGGGGAGGUUUGGCACCUCGAUGUCGGCUCAUCGCAUCCUGGGGCUGUAGUCGGUCCCAAGGGUUGGGCUGUUCGCCCAUUAAAGCGGUACGCGAGCUGGGUUUAGAACGUCGUGAGACAGUUCGGUCCCUAUCCGUCGUGGGCGUAGGAAAUUUGAGAGGAGCUGUCCUUAGUACGAGAGGACCGGGAUGGACGCACCGCUGGUGUACCAGUUGUUCUGCCAAGGGCAUAGCUGGGUAGCUAUGUGCGGAAGGGAUAAGUGCUGAAAGCAUCUAAGCAUGAAGCCCCCCUCAAGAUGAGAUUUCCCAUAGCGUAAGCUAGUAAGAUCCCUGAAAGAUGAUCAGGUUGAUAGGUUCGAGGUGGAAGCAUGGUGACAUGUGGAGCUGACGAAUACUAAUAGAUCGAGGACUUAACCAUAUAA